AACCAAUGCUGAGGGCAUUUCCGCAGGAGAUCCUUGAACCUAUUAUGUAUCAAAAAGAGACUCCAAUUUUGUUUGCACAAAGGAGGACAUUUCAUUCCUAAGCUU